rnacentral:lncRNA from 1 species
CGGGGAGACAGCUUUGCAGAUGACCGCGAACUUAAUUUUGAGGAACCCAUCUAUUUGCAAGGCUUUAACAUUCUCUAAGGCACCGAGAAGGCUGUGUUGGAGUUCUGGCUACUCCUUGGUUAUCCCUCUGUGCCUCUAUUUAGAGAUAUAGGGUGACUUCAAGUAGCAUUUAAUUUAGUCAAAUAGUUUCACUUUAGGAAUUUUUCAGUGCCCUUCAAAGACACUUGGCGUUAACCGCAGUGCUGAAAGGAAAUUGAAGUUAAGAUUAAAUAUUCUCCAUCAGAUAUUCUUAAGCACGAUACAUGCAUUGACUUUUUUAUUCAGUUGACAAACCCGUGAGAUAAUCCUAAUGUAUGUGUCCAUUUUACAGAUGCGGGAGCUACGCACACAGAGUUAAGUAAUAAAUGACAGAGAUGGAAUUCCAUCCGCAACUAGAGUUGGGGUUCUCAAUGCAAAGCUGGCCCCUCAGCAAAGGCACGUGAUCCUGUGUGAGCUGCACAAUCAGAGACCAGUAGCUGUAGAAAACGCUCUUGGCCACUGCCGGGUCUCCCGGUCAUGGGACAUUGCAGGGUCCUCAGAGCAGAGGGUCUGGUACACGAUGCUCCUGGUACCCUGUGGCCUCUCCCUUCUUGUAGACCUGUGGCCCAAUUAUUUGGCACCUGAUUUAAGGCUUCUUUUGUUAUUCUCUGAUGUUACCCCAUCUGGUUUGCAUCCUUCUUAAGAGCAAGGAAUACCCCUUAUGUUUGUUUCUCGAGGAUCCACCAUAGCGAUUGACUAACAUGCUUUUUGGUGCAUACUUUAUUAAAACUCUGCUGACUGGAUUUUUGGACACUCUCCUACAUGAGAGAAAGGUGGCCCUUUCACUUCUGUGUUUCCAGGUCCAAGGCCGUCUGAAUAGCCACAGGAGAUGAUUAAUCCUAAAGGUGAUUUCCUGGAGCAUUUUGAUAUACCAGUGGGAUCAGUACUGGUGUGCAGUCACCCCAGACCAUCUUUUGCAUCUUCUCUCAGAGUAGAAAGGGCAGAUCCACCAAUGGUGCAGAACUAGAGUUUCUAUAAAUAAAGCCUGAUGUGGCCCCUUCA